rnacentral:rRNA from 1 species
AGUGAACGCUGGCGGUAGGCCUAACACAUGCAAGUCGAACGGCAGCACAGUAAGAGCUUGCUCUUACGGGUGGCGAGUGGCGGACGGGUGAGGAAUACAUCGGAAUCUACUUUUUCGUGGGGGAUAACGUAGGGAAACUUACGCUAAUACCGCAUACGACCUACGGGUGAAAGCAGGGGAUCUUCGGACCUUGCGCGAUUGAAUGAGCCGAUGUCGGAUUAGCUAGUUGGCGGGGUAAAGGCCCACCAAGGCGACGAUCCGUAGCUGGUCUGAGAGGAUGAUCAGCCACACUGGAACUGAGACACGGUCCAGACUCCUACGGGAGGCAGCAGUGGGGAAUAUUGGACAAAGGGCGCAAGCCUGAUCCAGCCCUACCGCGUGGGUGAAGAAGGCCUUCGGGUUGUAAAGCCCUUUUGUUGGGAAAGAAAAGCAGCAGGUUAAUACCCCGCUGUUCUGACGGUACCCAAAGAAUAAGCACCGGCUAACUUCGUG